GGUGAGUAACACGUGGAUAACCUACCUAUAAGACUGGGAUAACUUCGGGAAACCGUAGCUAAUACCGGAUAAUAUUUUGAACAGCAUGGUUCAAAAGUGAAAGACGGUCUUGCUGUCACUUAUAGAUGGAUCCGCGCCGCAUUAGCUAGUUGGUAAGGUAACGGCUUACCAAGGCAACGAUGCAUAGCCGACCUGAGAGGGUGAUCGGCCACACUGGAACUGAGACACGGUCCAG
rnacentral:rRNA from 1 species